UACGGAGGGGGCUAGCGUUGUUCGGAAUUACUGGGCGUAAAGCGCGCGUAGGCGGCUUGGCAAGUUAGAGGUGAAAGCCCGAAGCUCAACUUCGGAAUUGCCUUUAAAACUGCAAAGCUAGAAUCAUGGAGAGGUGAGUGGAAUUCCGAGUGUAGAGGUGAAAUUCGUAGAUAUUCGGAAGAACACCAGUGGCGAAGGCGACUCACUGGACAUGUAUUGACGCUGAGGUGCGAAAGCGUGGGGAGCAAACAGG
rnacentral:rRNA from 1 species